AGGCUGAUGUGUUCUAAGACUCGUGUGCUUUGUGAAAUCUAUUCCAAGAAAAAAGGGGAGAAACCCACCAAAAAAAAAAAUGCGUCCGGCUGUGCGUUGAAAUCGGUGGUUUUUAAACGAUGCGUAAUUACAGCGAUUGUCUUUACACGGGAGCGCGAGCUGUUGUCGCUACACGUCUGCAUCGGUCGGGAUUAGAACCUUUUCCCCCCAUCGAUUCACUUUCGGACUAUUUUAUAUCUCCACCUACUUCUUGGAAUUGAACCAACCCUACAUGUGCGUACCAAUUACGUGUUGUGCUCGCUUACAAAGGCGCCCCACGGAGCUGUGUCGGACUUCCGCGUCAUCAGGAGAGGCGUGCGGCCAGCAGUCGAAGAAACUUGGCUAUGGAAGGAAAGAGAAGGACUUGCGGAGGUUCUGUGUGUGAUGUCUCGAGCUCUUCUGUCACCGUACCUUGAAAAGCGAUUAUCAUCGAACUUGGAACAUAACAAUCUAUCGAAGAACACCGUGGGAAGGUGUUGUUGUGCAGAAGAAAAUCACAUGUGCUUGAUUGUGUAGUGUGCAACAUCGGCCAGGCCCGGCAUAGAUUGGAAGCUAUAUUUCGAGAGACUACAGCACGUAUCUCAGCUGCUGAUGCUGCAGCCCUGCCCUAACACAUUGCUGACGAAGAUGCUUAAUAGUCUCACCCACAACCUUCCAGUGAUUCUCUCUAUCAUCUUUUUAUCUACCUGUGUGUUUUAAAAAGUAAAUCCCAAUAGAACACCUAGUCACGCAUAGGGGCUUAUAGACAUAAUUCAUACCCUUACGUAAAAGACCUUUGACCCAAAGUCAACUCGAAAGGCAAACAAUCGAUGAUGAUGGUUUAUCCUUUUUCUUCUUCAUUUAAGGAUUCUCACGAUUGAAAGUUCGGAGUAAAAGUGAAACAGGAAACUAUUUUCCUCCAAGCUGGUUGUUGUCUUGAAAAGCACAAAAUUAUACCGAGGGGUCUAUCUUUUAGCAGCAAAAGACCAAUAAGAAUAUCUGAAUUCACUUUCUCUUUUCCAAUUCUAAUUAUCUGUUUAGACUGUAUAAAUAGAAACAAGACACAACGCGAGCCAUAAAACGGGAAGAGUUUGCCUUUAAUGCGAUAAAUGCGCAGCCAUAAGUGGAGUGGAAACUUUGUUUGUC